UACGGAGGGUGCAAGCGUUGUCCGGAUUUAUUGGGUUUAAAGGGUGCGUAGGCGGCCCUGUAAGUCAGUGGUGAAAUACUGCAGCUUAACUGUAGCAUUGCCAUUGAUACUGUGGGGCUUGAGUACAGAUGAGGUAGGCGGAAUUGAUGGUGUAGCGGUGAAAUGCAUAGAUACCAUCAAGAACACCGAUUGCGAAGGCAGCUUACUAAGCUGUAACUGACGCUGAGGCACGAAAAGUGUGGGGGAUCGAACAGG
rnacentral:rRNA from 1 species